rnacentral:rRNA from 1 species
AACGAACGCUGGCGGCGUGGAUAAGACAUGCAAGUCGAGCGCUGAUUUGAAGGUAGCAAUAUUUUCAAGUCGGAGCGGCGCAAGGGUGCGUAACACGUGGGAAUCUGCCUUGAAGUGUGGGAUAACUCCGAGAAAUCGGAGCUAAUACCGCAUGUGAUCGAAAGAUUAAAGUUGGGGAUCGUAAGACCUGACGCUUCAAGAUGAGCCCGCGGCCUAUCAGCUAGUUGGUGAGGUAAUGGCUCACCAAGGCUAAGACGGGUAGCUGGUCUGAGAGGACGACCAGUCACACUGGAACUGAGACACGGUCCAGACACCUACGGGUGGCAG